ACAUGGCUCCUACCGCCCUGUCAGCGUAGAGCUGAAUGGAGCGUAGGGGCGGCAGAGUUGGUGGGGUCUGCUGAGUGCUUCUGGCGUAGCAGUUCGGCAGUGCCGAGCUGUUUGAAGUCAUCACAGAUAUAAACUGCUUGUCGCAGCAACUCACAAUCGCAUUCCUGCCCGUCAUGUCGAACAGCGGAGCGCUAAUUUCAGUUUGAGGUCUGCACUCUUACUACAAUGCAAAUGGUGACAGCAUCAGGCUGCACUCGGCUGACCCAUAAAUUUGCCCCUGCUCUGCAUUGCCUUGCAUGUUCGGGUCAGAUAAUGGUUCCUGUUGACCUGAUGGACUCCUUUGUUCUCUGCAUUCAUCAUAGGUUACAGUCAUGAAUCAUGGACCAAGA